AAUAAGUGUAGUUUUACACUAUUCACGUUCAACGUUUGACCAUUCGUCUUAUUUGAAUUUUUUUAUGAUUAGUAUUUUUAUUGCUAUUAGAUGAUAAAACAUGAAUAAUGCUUUAUGUAUGACUAAAUUUUUUAAAUUUUUUCAUAAAUUUUUCAAAUAAGACGGACAGUCAAACGUUGGACACGGAUAUCCACGGCUGCACUUAUU
rnacentral:pre_miRNA from 1 species